rnacentral:rRNA from 1 species
GACGGAAGGUGCAAGCGUUGCUCGGAAUCACUGGGCGUAAAGGGUGCGUAGGCGGUCGUGCAAGUCGGAUGUGAAAUCUCAGGGCUCAACCCUGAAACUGCAUUCGAUACUGCGCGGCUAGAGUGCUGGAGGGGAGACUGGAAUUUACGGUGUAGCAGUGAAAUGCGUAGAUAUCGUAAGGAAGACCAGUGGCGAAGGCGAGUCUCUGGACAGCAACUGACGCUGAGGCACGAAGGCCAGGGGAGCAAACGGG